rnacentral:rRNA from 1 species
GACAGAGGGUGCAAACGUUGUUCGGAAUUACUGGGCGUAAAGCGCGUGUAGGCGGCAAGGCAAGUCGGGUGUGAAAGCCCUGGGCUCAACCCAGGAAGUGCAUUCGAAACUGCUUCGCUCGAGUCCCGGAGAGGUUGGUGGAAUUCUCGGUGGAGAGGUGAAAUUCGUAGAUAUCGGGAAGAACACCGGUGGCGAAGGCGGCCAACUGGACGGUGACUGACGCUGAGACGCGAAAGCGUGGGGAGCAAACAG